rnacentral:lncRNA from 1 species
GAAGAAUCAACACAGGAACAAGACUCUCGGUGGCAGAACAUCUGAUAUGUGCUUUCACCAUCUCUGGCUUUGGUUCUUAGUGGUCAACUGUAGUCUAAAACUUUGAUGGAACACUGUGAAAACAGGAAACAAGCAAAGCCUAAGUUUUCAAACGCACAAUUCUGAGUGGCGUGGUGUCAUCUUUCAUUGUCUUACUUAAUCUCUGCCUGGAUAAAAAUCACCCUCUGUGCAGCGUAUCCACCCAGUAUGCACUACCUACUCAUCAGUUCCUUCAUUGUGUUCUUGUUUAUCAGAUCAAUUAUUAUAGAGUCGUACCUGUGCUCCCUCACCCUUACGUCACUGAAGAGUGAUCAAAAAAUGCAAAAAAGAAUGGUGACACUAGGGAUUCAGGUGUGCCACAGAGAGGCCACCAAAUGCUUCCUUUAAGUGAUUUUGUUAAAAAUAAAAGACAACUCCAACGGACUGCAAAAAAAAAAAAAAAAACCUUUAUUCUGGGACCAUUAGUACCUGAUGUUGGUUCCAAUCUUCAAUCUGUGAAAUUGCGAAUGAGAACAAGAAAUUCAUUCUAAUGUUGCUACUGUUUUAGCCUGAAUGGCCUCACUUAAGAUGAAACAAACAUAGUUUCAAGCACUGAGAGUUCUUGGGCUAUUUCUUACAUGGAAAGGAAGAGGCUAGUGUACAGAAAACUAUUUAUAACAUAAUACAAAAUAAGGGCUUCCCAGUCUAACUCUGCUGCAGAAUAUCUAUUUCCUUGCAAAUAAGACUAGUCCAGCCUCCCUUCAAGAAUGAGUAAUGACCAAUACAGCAGAACUCUCUAGCAGGUCACAGGGUGUAGAAAGACAGGGAAGUUCCCAGGCAUCAGAGAUAGAAGCUAAGGUGAAUGGAAUGUGGUGAUGAGUGAUGGGAAUGGCAGGAUGCUGGCAUGCAGCUCAACCCCGAUGAUCAUGGCCCAUGAAGUUUCUUCUCAUCCACUGUGUCUUUGAACCAUUGAGUAGAGAGAUGGUUCCUUGUGUGGACUGCUUUACUGAGAAGUGGAAUCUUGGUGAUCUUGAUGAUUCUGGCCUAAGAAGACAAGAGCUUGAGUGUGGGUGACCUUGUCUUUACUGAAGGUCCAUAUGAUGGCACAGAUUAGGGAGUAUACCUUCUGAAAGGGAUCCAGGAACAAGCAGGAGUUGUAGGUGAUCCUCAGUCAGCCGUGAGCACCAAAAAUGCAACCUCUGUCCCAGGCUGGUAAGAGAAUGGAUUCUCCCACCAACUCACAGGAACAGGAAGUCAGUCUUUCCUAGCUGAACCUCCUGGUGGGGCCACGACUACAGACAGACUCCUGACUUCUGCAGAACAGAGCCAGGAGACACGCUGUCCUCUAUCCGCCAGCUUCCAAGCUUCAAGACAGAGUUCCAAAGGGACUGCUGCCUUAAGCUACUGAUUUUUCAGGUAUUAAAUCUAAUAUGGUGAGGGAGUUAGAGAGGGGCAAUUCAGCACGCGCUGUUGGGACAGCUUUCCAGCUACUUGGGGUUUGUUAAUAUGACUCUUUAUAAAACGCUUCACUGCAAAAUCAAUUCUGGAGUGAUGAAGAAACUAGACAGAAGAGAUAAACAGCGUUGUCUUCCUCAAGUCCAUCUGCUCUCCUGAGGGAUUCUAGACUGGGCUCCAUCAGGCUGCUCUGGGAACUGGCAGCUGAGGCCAUAGGUGGGACCUGGAGGAGCCCCUUUCUGGUUUGUAGACAGAAGCCUUGAGAGCACUGUCCUGAGAAAGAGGGCAUAGUUCUCAUUGUUGAUAGAACAUACAUCAUGUCCUAGGAUACAGCCUCAGGGCCCUGCCUGACACUGUCCUAUUGAGGCUCUGGAAUUCAGUCUAUGAGUUUUAUUUGUGUUUUUAAAAAACACUUUUUAACAUUUAUUCUUUGGGAAUUUUAUGCAUGUAGUGUAUUAUUGUAUGUUUCCUCUUUCCAACUCUCUCCAGACCCUCUCAACAUGUUAUCCCAUGUUUGUUUGAUAUAAAAUUUUAAUGGGACAGGGAUGUUAAGUCCAUAUUACAUACCUUGUCAAUGUAUAAGUUCUCUGGUUUCAGGAUGAAGUGCCAUUUUGGAGAGUGAAAAUAAGAGAUCAUUUACAUUUCUAUCUUUAAAAAGAAAUUUUAUGUUGUAAUAUUUCCACAGUUGAGAGCCCUUCUAGUAUAUAAUUGCUGUAGAAUUAACAGGUACAGAAAGGAUCUUUAUCGUGUGGGCAAGAGGUAAGUGUGUUCAAGGUUCAUGUUCAAGGGCCACAGGCACGUAAACAUAGAGUGAAAGAUCUCACAUCAAAUUUCUGGGUCAGACUCUUCUGGAUGGCAAACAUAUUGGCGAUUGAUUUUAGGAUUUCUUCUGUGGUUUCUAUCCUUUCUCCGUGUACAUUUUCUACAAUCCUGUGGUAAUGUUAUAAAUGGGAUAUUUGCACACAGAAUAAUAUUUCAGUCAUAAUCACAAAGGCAACAAGAUGAACAGUUUUGCCUCUGUAAUAUUUGUACAUUUCUUCAAGUAUUGAGGAAUUAGAUAAUAAUAUUAAAACAUUGUGUGUG